CUCUUUAAAAGGGUCAGAAACGGUAUGGGAUGAUAUUGUUGUCUUGGCUACGACUGUGCAAUGGCAGCUGCAAGGGUGUUGAGUUUUGUGUUGACAGUUUGUGUACUCAAAGGCUUGUGUUCUCCCUUUGAAAACUUCAAUCAAAAGGACAUCUCUCUGCAACGAAUCCGAGACGUGCUGCAGUAUUAUGAUGCCAUAAAUGCCCAAAAAGGGCUUCAAUUAAUGGAGAACUCCAAUUGGCACGAAGAUUUGGUGCAUCAUAUUGACACUGACCAAGUUGAAUCUGAU